CAUUGGCUCAACCAANGUAUGCUUUGGAAACUGUUAGACUNGAGUGCAGAAGGGGAGAGUGGAAUUCCAUGUGUAGCGGUGAAAUGCGUAGAUAUAUGGAGGANCACCGGUGGCGAAAGCGGCUCUCUGGUCUGUCACUGACGCUGAGGCUNGAAAGCGUGGGUAGCGAACAGGAUUAGAUACCCUGGUAGUNCACGCCGUAAACGCUGAGUGCUAGGUGUUAGGUCCUUUCCGGGACUUAGUGCCGACGCUAACGCAUUAAGCACUCCGCCUGGGGAGUACGACCGCAAGGUUGAAACUCAAAGGAAUUGACGGGGGCCUGCACAAGCGGUGGAGCAUGUGGUUUAAUUCGAAGCAACGCGAAGAACCUUACCAGGUCUUGACAUCCCGAUGCCCGCUCUAGAGAUAGAGUUUUUCUUCGGAACAUCGGAGACAGGUGGUGCAUGGUUGUCGUCAGCUCGUGUCGUGAGAUGUUGGGUUAAGUCCCGCAACGAGCGCAACCCUUAUUGUUAGUUGCCAUCAUUAAGUUGGGCACUCUAGCGAGACUGCCGGUAAUAAACCGGAGGAAGGUGGGGAUGACGUCAAAUCAUCAUGCCCCUUAUGACCUGGGCUACACACGUGCUACAAUGGUUGGUACAACGAGUCGCAAGCCGGUGACGGCAAGCUAAUCUCUGAAAGCCAAUCUCAGUUCGGAUUGUAGGCUGCAACUCGCCUACAUGAAGUCGGAAUCGCUAGUAAUCGCGGAUCAGCACGCCGCGGUGAAUACGUUCCCGGGCCUUGUACACACCGCCCGUCACACCACGAGAGUUUGUAACACCCGAAGUCGGUGAGGUAACCUUUUAGG
rnacentral:rRNA from 1 species